ACAUCAGAAACACUUCUGGCUUGCAGAAAGGCGGAUCCCUCUCUGCCUCUCAGAACUUCUUUUGAGCCUAUUUUUACCUGCCAUACAUCGGCGGGUCCUAGUAACACGCCAGCUCAGACUAAAAUUGUUGUCUUACGUAUUAUAACGACAUUGCAUUCCCUCGGUCGAGUUCUACGACCGACUCAGCGCGACGACAAGAAUAGUUUUCCAGCUCUAGCUAGCUAACUUUUAACGCACUAGCAUUUAACUUGACAACUGCCCUGCAGCAUAACAGGGAAGGAGCAACACCGGAGCAAACACAGGAAGAUGGAAGAUAAAGAAUUGAUGUGGGCAUUGAAAACCGGGGACCUGGAUGAGGUCCAAGCCAAACUGGUAACGGCUGAAGAUGUAAACCGGACCCUGGAAGGUGGGAGGAAGCCCCUGCAUUACGCUGCAGACUUUGGUCAGACAGAUGUGGUGGUGUUCCUCAUCUCUAAGGGAGCAGAUGUCAAUGCUCCAGACAAACACGGGCUCACUCCACUGAUCUCUGCCUGUUUUGAGGGUCACCUCUCCUGUGUCAAGGUCCUGCUAGAAAAGCCGCACACCCCGGCCCUCGCAUCAACAAGCCAGCAGUGUCUUGCAACCAUUCGGCCAGCAGCUGGCCAGCAGCUGGCGUCAUUGCUGUUGGCUCACAGAUAAACCGAAAGAAGCGGCCAAGGCCAACAGGAAGAAAAUAGCAGUUUACUACUCAGGAGCUGACAAAGACCGAAAAGGACCGGACGGCAUUAGUGCCUUUGAAGCUGCCGAGAGCGAUGCCAUAAAGGCUCUGCUCAAGUGAGACACCACAGUGUGGGAGGUGGCUGGACAGGUGGGUGAACGGACAGACAGAUGGAUGCAGUGGUCCCCUGACAGAAGAUGGACUUGCCCCUUUUACCCCAAUCAACCUCUGUCGUAUCACUGCUUUUGUCUGUUUGUUUGAGGGUCAUUUUGUCUGUCUGGUGAUUUUCCUUUACCUUGUUUAUUUUCUUUUCCUCAAGUUUUUGGGAUAGGUUUUUCUCUUCUUUGGCCUCUGUAGCCAUUUAACAGAAGGACUUGUCAAUUAUGUCUCCCUUAGGGACCAAACACUGGGGGAGCGCUCUCGCACCUGGAUCCUAGAACACUGCUCAAACUAGAAAUCACUCUAAUAAUGUAAAUGCAAAGCUUAGCACAUAAAUACACAUCUCUCAUUUGCGGUUCUCUCUUAAAACUGUAAAGAAUUCAAAUGGUAAUGGAUCAAUAGUGUGUUAACAUUUUUUACACCUUCAGUACAAGUAUUGUAUGGUCAGGGCUUAAUCUCAUCAACAGUAAUUUCACUGUACUUUACUAGGUAGAUUGAAAGAGAAAGCUUGUAAAGUUUCUUUAUAUUGACCUUUCAUUAUGUGUGGCCUCUUACUCUAUCUUGAUUUUGUUUUUUAAUAGACCAAACUGUCCCUCCAAUCUUGAAAUUUAGGAAAUGUUGAUUUUCCUUUUCUACUUGGCAUAUCACUUACAUAUCAAAUGGUGUUUUUGACAAAUUUUACGUUGGAAAUGCAUAAAAGAUAUUCUGUGUUCUUUGACCAAUCACCAUGCUGGCUAACUAGAAAGACUUGAAUGUUGCAAUUUAAAAAACCUGUUACUGAAUCCCUUUUUGAAGUAACGUUAACAGCAAAUAAUAGAAUAAGGAAUUUUAGAAAUGUGUUCAUUUUGUGAUCCCUGGAGUGAGAUUUCAGAGCAAAAAUUCCCAUUUUUUUGCAGCUUCUCUUUGUGUUUUGUAAUUGAUGGGCUCUGGGGGCUCUGAAUGAUGGGUAAAUGGGGGUUAGAGUUGAAACUGGAUGGUGGGGGCUGCUAGUGUUUCCCUUGCCUUGGAUUCGGUUAGAAGCCCUGCCUGUUUUGCUGCAUGUCAAAAAUUGCCUCUGCUUUUACGCUAUGAAAUGGUCGCUGGUCUCUCUUGGUUGCUUUCAAAUUGAUUACUACAAUGUAAUGGACAAAAAAAGAUGCUCUUGCUGACUUUGUUGUGACAAAAAGUCUGUAAAAACAAAUAAAAAAUAUCUAUAAAAAUA